rnacentral:lncRNA from 1 species
UCACAGGGGCAUUUUCAUCAUUUUUCUUCUAUAAUAUCGAAACUCGCCAAAAACAUGGUGUAAAAGCUAAAUAUGUUCAUACAUAUUUUAAAUCAGAUAACGAAAGUAUAAAAUUACUUUUACAAUGACACGUGGGCCCCCAACUAACCAAUAGGAUGUGAGUCUGUGAACCUAUAAUUUUGACAAUGCAAGGCUAACUGAAGUCCUUGAUGCAAUCGGCUAUCCCGAACCUAAAAUGUGGGGAAUUGAGGGUGGUGAGAUUAUAAAAUCCUAGUGAGUAAACAGACACCAUCUAAACUAUCUAAAGGCGAGUAAAUAGAGACAAUUAAAAAUAAUUAACUUCAGUAAAUUUUUCACAUCAUGAAUAUUCAUUUCAACCAAAUAAUCAAUAUGGCUCGUGAAUUACUCAAAACUUGGCUCAUGCCAAAUCUUGUACUCGGGGACACCUAGACCAGGGGUAUCCAACCGAGUCCGCCAAGGUUGUUAAAAAUUCAUAUUUCGCAUAAAUCAUAUUUUUAUUUUGAAACAUAGUCGUUCUUUGGCGUUGGCUGAGUCUCACUCUCACGCGGUGGUCCACGUGAAGUGCACUCAAAAAGCCCACCUCAGGAGAUACCCUACGCGCCUCUACGACCGAUGUGAGAAUAUAAAGGAGUUUACCGUGCCCCUCUAAUAGGCUGGCCCACAGAACCCCCCACCACUGCAGUAACUAAUCUUUCAUCUACCACUUGAUUUAUAAAAUCUUUUUCUGCAUGACAUGGCAAUUUAUCGCAACCUAGCCUCUCAAGGCUAAAUACACAAUACAAAUAAUUCUAACACCAAAAUCAGUUUAGCCAUUCAUGCUCAUUUAUUGUCAUAAGCCAUUCAAUUUAAAACCAUAAAUUUACAACAUAAGCAGGCAAUCUCCAAUUACUCUAUUUUCAAAACCAGUAUUCGAUUUUUCAGAAAAUUUAUAAAAUCAUUUUAUAAAAUCACAAUUUCUCUUAAAACAUAGCAAUUUACCAUUUAAACCCAUUUUCCAUAAAAUCACACAAUUGUAUAAAACUACUCUAGAUAAUUAAGACGAUAAUAAGUUUACUCACAGUUUUCGAAAACUAAAUUCGGGUACUCCAACUAUUACUCCUCGGGUGCGAUUUCUUUGUUCUUGCUAGAGGAUUCGCCACCUUGACAAAUUGCAUAAUUAAGAGGUUUACUACUUUGGUACUAAACCAAAAUAAACUAAUUUAUACUACUAAUGCAUGAUAUGAAGUGCAAAAU